GUUCAGAGGACGGAUCAGCAGGGCUCCGUGUGGUAAACCAGGCCAAUUGGCAAAAUAGGCACAUGGAGGCAGCAGCUGUACGGCAGUGGACGGGGUCGUAAAAGCGAGGGCCGAAAGAGGAAGUAAGGGGGACCUUCUGAGUUAUUACCCUCCAACGUACACACGGGGGCCUGGGAACUGUCCUCUUCUCACAGAGGACCACGGUGCAGCGUGGAGCAGGGCUGUUCUCCGGGCCUGCUUCCCCCAUCACCCUCUGUGUACUUUACCACCCCAUCACAAGUCCACAGCCGUCAUAAUGAGACAUGAGAGUAUACAGUAUGGACAACAAGACACCGUUUGCUCCAUAAUAAAACCAUUUGCUUACCAUUGCUUUACAACAGAUUUGUUCCCACCAUG
rnacentral:lncRNA from 1 species